UAGCAAUACUAGGUUGAGCCAGUGGCGAACGGGUGCGUAACACGUGAGUCAUCUGCCUGAAAGUGGGGGAUAGCUCGCCGAAAGGCGAAUUAAUACCGCAUGUGCCCCGAAGCAAUUCGGGGUAAAGCCGGGGCAACCUGGCGCUUUUAGAUGAGCUCGCGGCCUAUCAGCUUGUUGGUAAGGUAACGGCUUACCAAGGCUUCGACGGGUAGCUGGUCUGAGAGGACGACCAGCCACACUGGAACUGAGACACGGUCCAGACACCUACGGGUGGCAGCAGUCGAGAAUUUUUCUCAAUGGGGGAAACCCUGAAGGAGCGACGCCGCGUGGAGGAUGAAGGCUUUCGGGUUGUAAACUCCUGUCAUUUGGGAACAAUACCUUACGUUAACUGCGUGGAGGUUUGAUAGUACCAGAAGAGGAAGAGACGGCUAACUCUGUGCCAGCAGCCGCGGUAAUACAGAGGUCUCGAGCGUUGUUCGGAUUCAUUGGGCGUAAGGGGCGCGUAGGCUGCGGGGCAAGUCGGGUGUGAAAUCUCAGAGCUCAACUCUGAAACUGCACUCGAUACUGCUUUGCUAGAGGACUGGAGAGGAGAUUGGAAUUCACGGUGUAGCA
rnacentral:rRNA from 1 species